AUUUUGCCCCGAGUGUAUAUGUGGUGCCUUAAAGGUUAAUAAAAUCAAAUAAUGUUGUUUCGAUUUAUUGAGCUUUAAUCCUUAUUCUUCUGGGAAGGUAUGUAUGUAGAAAGAAUAAGUUUUCGGAUGAAAUUUCUAUUUGGAUGAAAAAAAAGUCGAGCGAAAAACACUUCGUGUGUUUAUUAGCAAGCAAAAACACCAACAAAGAAACAUAAGAACUCCACCACACUCUGUUGCAGCAACGGCAGUUGUUUUUGUCUUGUGCAGAGAGUGAGAGUAUGGGCAGAGAGCAACGCAACAGCAACACAACGUCGUCUCUUAAACUCUUUAAUAAUAUUUAUAAUGAUUUAACAGAUGUUUGUUUUUUUUUUGUUUUUUGGUUUCGUGCACACAAAUAAUAACCACUCGAAGAGGGUGCACACACGACACUCGCUACAACGACAACAACCAACCAACCACAACAACAAUGGAUAUUAUCAAUCUAUCCGUUUGUUAUAGUUUUUUUGCCAUUUCGGAAGUACACUGGGGCGCACAGAACGCACAAGAGAGCAAAAGUUUGCCUGCACUCUGACAGUCAGCCAGCCAGUUAGCCAGAAUGCAUGCACCACAAACACACAUCGUUCGUUUGUUGUGCGCGCACACAUACACACCCACCCACAAAUCAUGGCAGCAACAACAAUCCGAGCAACGAGGAGACUCGUUGAAAUGAGACAACAACGAGUGACAACAUCUAAAUGAAUGACUUUCACCAAUUAUUGAUUCCGUUGAACAGCAACAAAAAAAAGAGGCAACAGCAACAACAACCACAACAAAAACGUUGCAACGUUUGCAAAAACUUAUAAAAAUAAUUUGAAAGAGAAAUAGAAACGUAUAUUUCAAUGCUUUUGCAAGUUAUUCAAAUAAUAUCAAUUAAGAAGAAGGUCUUCUCUCAACGAACCAGAAG